rnacentral:rRNA from 1 species
GCUUGUCUCAAAGAUUAAGCCAUGCAUGUCUAAGUAUAACUCUUUUACUUUGAAAACUGCGAACGGCUCAUUAUAUCAGUUAUAGUUUCUUUGAUAGUCCCUUACUACUUGGAUACCCGUAGUAAUUCUAGAGCUAAUACAUGCAUCAAUACCCAACUGUUCGCGGAAGGGUAGUAUUUAUUAGAUCCAACCAACCGCGGCGGGCAACCGGCGCGAACCUGGUGAAUCAUGAUAACUGAGCGAAUCGUAUGGCCUCGCGCCGACGAUGGUUCAUUCAAGUUUCUGCCCUAUCAGCUUUCGAUGGUAGGGUAUUGGCCUACCAUGGCAUUGACGGGUAACGGAGAAUUAGGGUUCGAUUCCGGAGAGGGAGCCUGAGAAACGGCUACCACAUCCAAGGAAGGCAGCAGG